CCUCAGCUAAAUUAUUACUCUCCCCCAUACACAUUUCUCAUUUUCAUCUUACAAAAUAGAAAAAAUGUUGUCUCCUUUCAAUAAUUUCACAGUAGAACCUCGGCCCCAAAUAAUACACAGACCAAUGCUUAUGAAAAAAAACAAAGCAGUUAAAAUUGAUCUAAAGUCUUCAUAUUUAGAGAAGAACUGUUGCUGCAUAAA
rnacentral:lncRNA from 1 species